GACGAACGCUGGCGGCGUGCUUAACACAUGCAAGUCGAGCGAUGAAACUCCUUCGGGAGUGGAUUAGCGGCGGACGGGUGAGUAACACGUGGGUAACCUACCUCAAAGAGGGGGAUAGCCUCCCGAAAGGGAGAUUAAUACCGCAUAGUAAGUAAAUACCGCAUGGUAUCUACUUUAAAGGAGUAAUCCGCUUUGAGAUGGACCCGCGGCGCAUUAGCUAGUUGGUAGGGUAACAGCCUACCAAGGCAACGAUGCGUAGCCGACCUGAGAGGGUGAUCGGCCACAUUGGAACUGAGAGACGGUCCAGACUCCUACGGGAGCAG
rnacentral:rRNA from 1 species